UUUAACUUCCAAGCAACCCCUUCAAACCUUUUCUCGGAUCGCAUACCCCGUCCAUCUUGAAGGCGAUCACCACCAUCGCCAUGGCCAAUGAUCACUCUCCUUCCACGCCACACCUCUGCCAGUGCUCCUCCCCCAUCGACGCGCCUUGGUCUGAGGCGUCCCCUUCCCCCGUCUACCUCCCCAUCCGCGUCCCCGCCAUUAAUGCCCCUUCCUCCAACAUCGUCGCGAUCAUCCUCUCUCCUGUCCCCCAACCCCUUCCCAUCCACACUCCGCGGUGAGACAUCGGAGCUCGUUCUCCAAGUGUAUACUCUAGAUCUCAGUUUGCUAAUCAUUUUCAGGACUGUGGAAGCAAGGAUUGUUGUAGUUGGUAUAUCAACAAUAUGCAGUCAGAAAGAAAACCAUAAUCAGUUAGUAUGUAAAGUGUUUAUAUCUCCUUGUAUUUUCUCAAGCUAUGAAGGCACUUUGGCUCGCUUUUUAUAUCACCAAUGCCAUCCUUGUCUUCCUUGUUAUUCCCUUGACAAUCUUCUAUUAUGAGGCCGACCAGGACAAGAGCAUGGUCAAGAGGUUGAGGAGCUCUCUAAUGUGAGUGAUUAUGUCUGCCAUUAUCUGCACGCUCAUUUUUGGAAUUCUCUAUGGCUAGAUUUUGUGAACUCUCUGUUUGUGUUUAUUUUGGCCAUUGUUGCAUUGUAAUGAAAUGCCAUUGUUGAAUCUA